UGAGGCGAGCCCGGGGCUCCACAGCCGCGCCCGUAACUCACAAAGAGCCCCGGCAGCCUCGUGGUGUGCUUCCGGGGCUCGCUGGAGCCUUUUCGGCUCUUUUGCGGAAGCCGGCCGAGCCGCUGGAGGCACGGAGCGGGGCCGGGCUCCGCGCACAGCCCGGCUGCCCCAGCCCCGAGCGCGGCCGGCGGGCCCAAGGUCAAUAACGAGAGGAGAUGCAUGUGCUAAUUAGCAGGCCGGUUAAUAAAUCAGGGAGGUGUGCUUGCUGCUCCCCGGAGAGCCCAGGAGAAGCAGCCCCCAGGGAUGCAGUGUCGGGCUCAGAGGCAGGAGAAGAUUGAAACAAAGGGCAGGAGAGAUUUGGGAAAUAAUCCCCUUCUCCACAGAAGCUGUCCUGAUGCUUCCCGUGCCAUAACAAAUCACAAACCCUGUCACUCGUGUACAACGCCCUGCCAGGAUGGGAUUCACCCCUCUGGCUGAGCUGGGACGGAGGGAUGAGCCCGAUGGACACCC